GACGAACGCUGGCGGCGUGCCUAAUACAUGCAAGUAGAACGCUGAAGAGAGGAGCUUGCUCUUCUUGGAUGAGUUGCGAACGGGUGAGUAGCGCGUAGGUAACCUGCCUGGUAGCGGGGGAUAACUAUUGGAAACGAUAGCUAAUACCGCAUAAAAUGGAUUAUCGCAUGAUAAUCCAUUGAAAGGUGCAAAUGCAUCACUACCAGAUGGACCUGCGUUGUAUUAGCUAGUUGGUGGGGUAACGGCUCACCAAGGCGACGAUACAUAGCCGACCUGAGAGGGUGAUCGGCCACACUGGGACUGAGACACGGCCCAGACUCCUACGGGAGGCAGCAGUAGGGAAUCUUCGGCAAUGGACGGAAGUCUGACCGAGCAACGCCGCGUGAGUGAAGAAGGUUUUCGGAUCGUAAAGCUCUGUUGUAAGAGAAGAACGAGUGUGAGAGUGGAAAGUUCACACUGUGACGGUAUCUUACCAGAAAGGGACGGCUAACUACGUG
rnacentral:rRNA from 1 species